UAACAUGUCGGUGUCCUGCAUUCGCGG
rnacentral:sRNA from 1 species